GCAACAUCCCUUACUUGUAAAUAUGCAAAGGCUGCACUUGUCUAAACCAAAGGCUGCAGUAGUUAAAAUCCCUGCACCAGGGAAUGUGGACGGACACACAAAUGAUCCUGACCUGCACAAGAAAAAAAUAAUUAUUAAUAUUUCCACUUUCGCUUUUAUGAAGUGGUAUACUUACUUGUAAAUAUGCAAAGGCUGCACUUGACUAAACCAAAGGCUGAAGUGGUUAAAAUACAUGCACCAGCAAAAGUGGACGGACACCCAAAUGAUCUUGACCUGCACAAGAAAAUAUAUUUAUUAAUAUUUAUACUUUUACAUGUAAGUAUGCAACGGCUGCACUUGGACACACAGGGUUCCUAGUACGCAAAACUUACUUGCAAUGGUUGCACUUGUUGUAAAACGCUACUUUUUGAAUACAAAUUAUCAAUAACUCCGAUACCCUGCAAAUAAAUAUAUAAAUUAUUGUUCUAAUUCAAAAUAUUUCCAUUAUUUUUGAUUUUUUUGGCAUACUUACUUGAAUUAGCGCAAUAGGAAAAUGAAUUUCCACGAAACAAUCGAUGAAAAUAUCGGCAGUGUUGCCUAUUUUUAUACAAAGACAACAUUUCUCAUUUCUCCUUGUAUUUAGGGCCUGUGCCAAUUGAUAGAAAAGUUCUCUGGAUAGUAAAUUUUUGACAGCUAUGAGGUGAAUAAAAAUGUUUGAAACGGCAGGGCUAGUGAAAAAUUUGACAGCAAGCAUUAUCAAGAAGAAGAACGAACAACGUACGUAUACACAUAAAUUAAAGAAAACAAAAGCGAGUGGAAAUAAAAGAACAUGGUCCCGCCGGCAAAAAAAAUAAAGAAAAGCUAUAUAACUUGGAGCAGUUCAGAACGCAGAAUCCUUCUGGAAAAGCGCAUUGACAAGGAUGUUUGGUUCAGUUCAAAGAACGCCAACAGCAACGAAGGCUGGAAGUGAGUAAGAACAAUAUAAAUAAUUUGAAGACUUUAGCAAAUGACUUCGUACUCCACUGACCAUCCGUGGCGCUUUUUGGGAAUGUGAGUUACAAUUUUUCGAAACGAAGCAGAGGACAACCUAAGAUACAUUUUUGUAGUCUUGCUAUCGCCGUUCAUAAUGCUGCUUAGUAUUUUGGAAUAAACGUCUUGUUGCAUGUACAUAAUACCCUAAAAUGACAUAUGUUUUUAUUGGAAACAAUUGUACACGGUUUUAAACAUUUUUGUGAACACACUUACGUGUUUUUAUUUCUAAUAUUACUGCUAAAAGGUCUAAUAAAUGCAUGGAUUUCAGUUCCAGAAGAAUUGAAAUCAUCAAAGGCAAAUAUUUUCUAUAUAA